ensembl:lncRNA
GGGAAAGAGGCUGCUACGCGAACGAUGGGGUGGGAGCAGCAGAGGUAUGUGUCAUCCACCUGCUGACAUGGUCUGCAAAAGAAAACUUGUUCCGGAGACCUCAUCACCACUGAGAGAGACAAGCAUCCAUGCUGGCACCCAUAUCUCCUGGAUUUGGUCGUAAGUCAUGAAAUUUGUCUCACGAGGAUUAGAAACGCUGCCAUCUGCAAUACAGACAUUUCUAUCAGCGGAUGUGACCAGGAAAACCUAGUGUUUCAAAGAAACUGAUGGGAGUGAAGAGAAAGUGCUUCCCAAGAGCUCUCUAAUGGGCCUAGGCAACGGUGUGAGCACAAUGUGGGUAUUCCUCUGCUUUCAGGAAGCAGGAAGCAUACUGACUGUCCUUCUUUCCCGUAUGCGUGUUCUAGCUCCAAUCUCAGAAUCAAAGGAUGGAGUUUUCACAGUGGGACUGUGCAAAGCAGGGGGGGGAGCAGCCCUGCUGCCAGCUGAGGCAAGCGGUCCUGGUGCAUCGCCUGUACUUGCCUUGCCACAGGCACGGCUGUUGCACACUGCACAGCAUCCUCUGGGCAGCAACACCAAAUCGGGGCUGUGAACAUCGGAUGAAGGGCUUCCGAUGGCAGAUGGCAGACUCUGAGCUGCGCACACUUUUAGAUUAGUGUAGUUUCAAAUCGUUUUAAUCUGCUUUGGUUCUCGUGGCUUGCCCAGGCUGCAAAAAGGUAUGAAAACAACAUAAAGGUAGCUGCCUGCACAUCUGGCGAGCACCAGCAUGCUACAGUGCAGGGGAGAGCUGGGAGUAGUUGGUGGAAAUUUAGCAGAAGAAAACAAUGACCGGUUGUCAAAAGGAAUGUCUUUACUAAGCAGUGUUCUAAUCACAGAAGGUGAUGAGACACCGCUUACACCAGGUGCUCUGGGUGAAAAGAAACAGUCCGAAUUGGCCGGACCCCUUUGUCAGCCCCCAGC